AUUGAACGCUGGCGGCAGGCCUAACACAUGCAAGUCGAGCGGAUGAAGGGAGCUUGCUCCUGGAUUCAGCGGCGGACGGGUGAGUAAUGCCUAGGAAUCUGCCUGGUAGUGGGGGAUAACGUCCGGAAACGGGCGCUAAUACCGCAUACGUCCUGAGGGAGAAAGUGGGGGAUCUUCGGACCUCACGCUAUCAGAUGAGCCUAGGUCGGAUUAGCUAGUUGGUGGGGUAAAGGCCUACCAAGGCGACGAUCCGUAACUGGUCUGAGAGGAUGAGCAGUCACACUGGAACUGAAACACGGUCCAGACUCCUACGGGAGGCAGCAGUAGGAAAUAUUGGACAGUAGGCGAAAGCAUGAUCCAGCCAUGCCGCGUGUGUGAAGAAGGUCUUCGGAUUGUAAAGCACUUUAAGUUGGGAGGAAGAGCAGUAAGUUAAUACCUUGCUGUUUUGACGUUACCAACAGAAUAAGCACCGGCUAACUUCGUG
rnacentral:rRNA from 1 species